GCUAGUCAUCACCACACCACUGGCUACGUAGCGGAUAGCGGCGUAGUGUCAGUGUCAUAGUACUGUCGGAGUUUAUCACGUGUUGCAAACGACGCCUUAGGCCUAAUUUCGCUGAAUAAAAUCCACACUGAUUUACCAUCGGACACUAAUUUGCUUAU